GUCUCCGUAAGAGCAGCACAUGUACUAAAAUUAGAAGGAUGGAGAGAAGAUUAGUCUGGCCCCUGCAUGAGAAUGACAUGCAAAUUCGUGAAGUGUCCCGCAUUUGU
rnacentral:snRNA from 14 species